rnacentral:rRNA from 1 species
AGCGUUGCUCGGAAUCACUGGGCGUAAAGGGUGCGUAGGCGGGUUUUUAAGUCAGGGGUGAAAUCCUGGAGCUCAACUCCAGAACUGCCUUUGAUACUGAAGAUCUUGAGUCCGGGAGAGGUGAGUGGAACUGCGAGUGUAGAGGUGAAAUUCGUAGAUAUUCGCAAGAACACCAGUGGCGAAGGCGGCUCACUGGCCCGGUACUGACGCUGAGGCACGAAAGCGUGGGGAGCAAACAGG